UACGGAGGGGGCUAGCGUUGUUCGGAAUUACUGGGCGUAAAGCGCACGUAGGCGGCUUUGCAAGUCAGAGGUGAAAGCCCGGGGCUCAACCCCGGAAUUGCCUUUGAGACUGCAUCGCUAGAAUUGUGGAGAGGUAAGUGGAAUUCCGAGUGUAGAGGUGAAAUUCGUAGAUAUUCGGAGGAACACCAGUGGCGAAGGCGGCUCACUGGUCCAUUACUGACGCUGAGGUGCGAAAGCGUGGGGAGCAAACAGG
rnacentral:rRNA from 1 species